rnacentral:rRNA from 1 species
GCAGCAGCCGCGGGAAUACGAGGGGGGCAAGCGUCGUUCGGAAUUAUUGGGCGUAAAGGGCGCGUAGGCGGUUUGGCAAGUUUGGUGUGAAAUCUUCGGGCUCAACUCGAAGUCUGCAUCGAAAACUGCCGGGCUUGAGUAUGGGAGAGGUGAGUGGAAUUUCCGGUGUAGCGGUGAAAUGCGUAGAUAUCGGAAGGAACACCUGUGGCGAAAGCGGCUCACUGGACCAUAACUGACGCUGAGGCGCGAAAGCGUGGGGAGCAAACAGGAUUAGAUACCCCAGUAGUCCCUGUCUCUUAUAC